rnacentral:tRNA from 1 species
AUUUUAUUAGUAAAAAAAUUAUAUUAUCUUGAUAAGGUAAAGUUCUUAAUGAUAAAAUAU